CAUAGUUGGACGUUUAUACUCUGAAGAAGGCUUGAAGAACUGAAAACUUUGUGCAUUAAAGAUAGGGUGACCAUAUUCUGACUUUCAAAAAAGAGGACACAACUACACAGGGGCAGAAUCACGGAGUUGCACGAAGUUCACUUUGAGUUUUUGGGUCAGAUCUAGUGCCUUUUACGUGCUUCUAACUCAGUAAAUCCACGCGACACAACAUUAAAACUUAUGUACAAAACUGCAGAUAAUUGAAGGAUUUUAUAAACUUCCCCGGACAAAGACGGACAGCCUGGACAACCCCCCGAAAAGGAGGACAUGUCCAGGUAAAAGAGGACGUAUGGUCACCUUAUUAAAGAGAAUGUUUCAUUGACUAAAUGUGCAGACAUACUCUUCUUUAACAUUUGAACUUUUUGACACUCUUUUUAUGUUUUUUCACAUCUCUCAGUUGUUUCUACAUUUCCGACCGGCUUCUUCAAUUUGGUUCAUAAGUUUUUUGAAAACUGAAAAUCAACUGCAUUUAGUCAGCUGUCUGUCUGCUACUCUUGCUUGUUUGUCCCUGGCAGGAUCACUUUCUGGAAUCCAGAAAUGAACCUCAACAUAAAAAAAACAACAAAAAUCCUUCAACACAGGGAUUUCAUCACAAUCCUGUACUAGUUUGCAAGGUGAGACCAGCCAUGAUGUCAGAAGGACCCUCAACAACCAAAGACUUUAUACCACUUUAUACAAGUUUACAUUGUGAAUAGCAGCACUAUUUCUGUUUUUAAUAUAAUAACUACUUUGUGCUUAUUUUCAGCAUGCUUGGAGUGAGUAAAAAAUACAGAUCUGUAUUGCGGUGAGUGUUUAAAUACAACACAGUAAUUUAUAAAUUUGACAGGGAUAGUCCAUCAGUCCAGCUGGGUCACACACCUGGUGAAAUGUGGCCCCUCAUUUCAGUGUGUUACGUUUAUAUGUAGUAAAUCUAACACUGAAUGGAGGUUCUUCGGUCUUAAAGGUCUGAUUUGAGGGAAUAUACUUGAGUUACUCCCCACUCUUUUAUUCUCCAACAGAAAGUCAGACCUAUAGGUCUCUUGCUGCCAGUCUCAGCUCUGUUCAAUAGAUCUUAUCAAACAGAUCUAGUUACAAAAGCUGUAGCUUGGAGAAGGUGGAGGACCUCCAAAAACAAUAUUAGCAGUAUUGACAUCUUUAAUGUGUGCCAAAGGUCUGAUCCCAGAGGCCACCGUGCUAAUGGGGAAAUAUUGAGUGUUGCCAGAACAGAGGUUUUCUUCUAAUCUGUCCAUUAUGGGCUCUGGACUACCGCUUUCACCAGAGAUGAAUGUACAGGGAUGGAUGGGAGAUAAUGUGAUCAAUUUUGAUACAAUAAAAGGGGUGAUAACUCAAAGUCGGUCACACUCUCCAGUGAUUAGCCCGUGCCGGUCUGAAAGAAUACUAUUAAACCAAGAUUUCUGAGCCAUUUCCUCUCACUCUCUCUUUCUAUGGUUUGCUGAGUAAUCCAAUCAAUGCUGCUCUUUUCAUCUCUCUCUAUUUCAUCCCUGACUUACUGCAACCCUUAGAAAUCUUUCGUGUUGAAUUCAAAGAUUUUUUUGACUGGAACCAUACCAGUAAUCGGCCAUUUUCCACAUUCCUGCAGCCACCAGUCCAUUAGGUCUACCUUUUCACAUGAGGACGCCUGAAAGAAACCAGGAACAGUCACCGGGAUGUAGGACAGCAGGCAGCAGACUCCAACAUUUGAGCCUGUGCAGACAUAGCUUUGCACGUUUGACUAAAUAGGAGAACUGGCAGGAUGUGAGACACAGUGAGGGAAUCAGGGAGCUGAAAGAAGACGCAUCCAGUUCUCUGAUGCAUAACUAAGACAACACUGUGGGUCUGUGGUUUAGAGGCACACAAUGCUCUUCUGUAGCCGCGGGCUCUAUCGGAGCGCCCUAUCUCUCCUACACAUCCAGCCACGCUGGGUCCACACAUCGGCCCAGCCAGCCAGCGGAUGGCACUGUAGCUGGUGAUAAAACGUGGCAUUGUUCUCUGAGUUGGGAGUAUGUUUGGCUUCUGUUUUCAUGCUGCAACUCCAACUAAAACUGCUGCUAGUAGGAAGAGUUUAUUGAACAGGGAUAACUCGAGAGCAAAAAAAGUGGUUUAAAUUGAAUUUGUUUUAUAUUACUUCACAGUACUUUGUAAAAAGUAAUGCAGUAGUUACAAAAACAUGGUAUUGUUUGGAGGCUGUUUGGCUUCAGUUAUGUGCUGCAAGGUUGAUAAAAAAAAGGAACAUCUGUGGAGCUAAAAAUCAAAUGACAUGUUGUUCAAUUUUGAUCUUUCCAGGAUGAUUUUAGCAAUGGAAAGAGAACCGCAAC
rnacentral:lncRNA from 1 species